rnacentral:rRNA from 1 species
GUACCCUAACCGUGCAAAGGUAGCGUAAUCACUUGUCCACUAAUUAUGGACUAGUAUGAAUGGCAACAUGAGGGCUAAACUGUCUCUUGAGGCCGAUUUAUUAAACUGAUCUUCUAGUUCAAAAGCUAGAAUACCGCAAUAAGACGAGAAGACCCUGUGAAGCUUUAAGAACCUUGCUAACCCACUUAGCAAUAACUUUUAGUUGGGGCAACUUUGGAGCAAAGCAAAACCUCCAAAACCCUCAAAGACCCACAAGUCAAGAACGACCCAGUACAGCUGAUCAAUGAACCAAGUUACUCCAGGGAUAACAGCGCAAUCCUCUUCAAGAGCCCAUAUCAAAAAGAGGGUUUACGACCUCGAUGUUGGAUCAGGACACCCGAAUGGCGCAGCCGCUGUUAAAGGUUCGUUUGUUCAACGAUUAAAGUCCUACGUGAUCUGAUUUCAGACCGGGG